rnacentral:piRNA from 1 species
UGGUGAAUUUGAACCAAAAAUAAAGCCUCCA